UGAAAUACAAAGUGCGAACCAGAUAUAUGCCCCGGAGAGGGAGUACGGGAUGCAAUGUAAAAUUGUGAAAGCCUCGAGUAAACUUUAUGUUACAUAAUGAUGAACAUAUUUUAUGUGUACUUUGAAUUGUGAAUCUUCACCACAUAGAUACAGAACAUCCACACGUUAAAGCCUCAUGAAAACCCUCCAGUCAUUGUUUGUUCUCAUAUUAUUUCUGAACCAGACUUUAUUUAUGAAUUGAUGUAACAGUACAAAAUUAAAACAUUCAUGAUUCUGAAAAUGAUAUUUUCAAAGCCACAUUUUUUACUAAUAAUGUGUUAAGCAUUGACGGUUGCUAUGAAAUGCUUAAUGUGAUUUAGCAACACUCACCCAUUUGAAAUCAAAUGCCAGAUGAGUUUCUUCCUGAGUAGAAAGGUGACAUGAAUGCUCCUGUGAUGUAUUGUUGCCCUCCAGGAAAGGCAGUAGGUUGUAUAGUUAACUCCCGAUGGGGUAAAAUAACAACCCUGAAACCACACAACCUACUACCUCACCCUGUACGAGCACCAUGAAGUGUACUCAUCUUGUCUCUGUGUGCACCUAUUGUGUAAAUACAGCAAGGUUAGUUUUGAUAACAUUGGAGAUAAAAGAUAUACUCAGAAGAUUGUCAGCUAAUCAAAGAUCCUUUGUGCCGAUGAAGGCGCCGCCAUUACUGCCGCUUCAGGAAAGACAGUAAGUUGUAUAGUCAUCUGACAGCUUGGGAAUGACCCUAAAACUAUACAACCUACUACCUCACCCCAAAGGGCCGUUGAUCUGCCACAGUUGUCUCUCGUAUCCCGCGGCUGAUGGUCGAUCUGGGAGAACAAACUCAGAAGACCGAAGGCCCUUCUCAUACAAGUUAAUCGAAUGAAAAUAGCUUCUCUAUUUUGAUGGCUGAAAAGUGUGACUCACAUUAUUUCUCGUGUGUUAUUGUAUUGUAUAUUUUGUGGGUUGAUUUUUAUUCACUUUAAACAUGGUCUCAGAAGUUUCAAUAACUUUAGAACUAAGAAAUAAAAAAGAAAGUUUCCUUAUUCCUAGUACUCUAAUUCAGUUAUAGCUUUCAUCAAUUUUGUCAAAACGUGACGUGACCCCGAGAACCUGAACAUAUGGACUGAUUAAACUGCAGCAGUGUAUUUUGUCUUCAUGUCUUAAUUGUGGCACAUCAAAGAAUGCUGUCAGAAUACUUCCUGCGCUUACGCCUUACGUCAGCUUGUCUCAUUAGUUUGUCAGCUCUCCUCCUCUCGGGUUUCCUCGGCCUGAUGGAGACAGAUGAGAGGAGAGAGUGAGCUCCUGCAGUGCGCCAAAAGGUCAAACUUUCACCUCUUGUCUUACACAUAAGGACUGCGCGAGAACCAGCACGGUCACACGAGUAAAACACAACAAACAGGGAAAUCGGUAUAUGGUCUGGGUAUUACCUACGGCGACACACUACCCCAUUAAUUUAAAACCAGUCAGGUAAAUCCUCUGUGAUCCGUCAUGCGAAACAAUGCUAUGCAUGUCAAAUGAGCAGAAAUCUGUAUGUCCGUCCGGGAGGCGGUGGUUGUUUCAGAGGUUCCUG
ensembl:lncRNA